UACGGGGGGGGCAAGCGUUGUCCGGAUUUAUUGGGCGUAAAGAGCUCGUAGGCGGCUUGUCGCGUCGUCCGUGAAAACCCACAGCUCAACUGUGGGCUUGCGGUCGAUACGGGCAGGCUAGAGUUCGGUAGGGGAGACUGGAAUUCCUGGUGUAGCGGUGAAAUUCGUAGAUAUUGGGAAGAACACCGGUGGCGAAGGCGGCGCUCUGGACCGAGACUGACGCUGAGGCGCGAAAGCGUGGGGAGCAAACAGGG
rnacentral:rRNA from 1 species